rnacentral:tRNA from 1 species
GUUUAAUUAGUAUAAAAUAGUACAUUUAAUUUCCAAUUAAAAAGAUUUUUUAAAAUUAAACA